GAAAUAUAUCUCACUGUACGCAUCACUAAAGAUUACAACACACACAAUAAUUUCCGUCACAAUUCCGAUGUGGUCCAGCAUUACAAAAUUCUGCGGUAAUUCUUACUACAAUAUUCUCUUCGUGUGUAUCUAAUUCCUCAUUCCUUUCAUUGUGUCUGAAUCCUCACAUUACAACAAUAUUAUAAUUCCCCACUUAAUAAUGUAACCGUUACAUACUAUGCAUAUUACGUUGCACUUACGUUGUCAAGUAGGAAAUUACGACGUCGAUGUAAUAUUACUAUUGGUGGGUGUUUACGGGAUGUGCCUGUUACGUCGCUAUCAGCUUUCACGGAGCGUAACGGAUCUCGACGUGGACGUUUCUCUCGGCGACGCGUAUCUUGUUCCUGGCGCGACACCUUCGCGUGUCAAAUAAUGCAGAUGGAGUCGCCGGGCCCGGACGUUUCGUUGGCACCGGACGAUCAAGUGACGUAUUGCAUUACUAGUCGUUGAAGAACAACGGGAUUGCGCUGAUAUGGAUACAGAGGAAAGUACGCACACGUGACGCCGACGCUUCGUUCCAAGCUGCCGAAUGCGCGCUGCGACUCGGGGAGGCCGAAUAUUCGGACGUUCGGGGGAAACCUGCGCUGCGUGUGACCAGAAGAAAGGGAAGAGAAAAGAAAGAAAAGAAGGUAACAGCUUUUACAGAUAUAGCAACACGCUCGCCACUCGCUCGCUCGUUCGUUCACUCGUUCAUUCGUUCGCUCGCUCUUCUUCUUCUUUUUCUCCAGCUAUAAAAUCACAACCGACGGUAAAGGGUAACGAAACGAUAUAUCGGAAGCUUCAAUGCGAGAAUGAAAAUAAGUACACAAUUAUUGUUAGUACCCAAUUCGUCCAUUUCGUCCAGGCUCAAAAUCACAUCUAAAAUGGAUUUCUCUUUGCCCCCCCCCCCCCAACAGACCAAUCAUGGACUUAUCUCAUUCUUGAACCGAAUUCUUCAAACUCUCAACAACAAAACUAUGCGGAACACGCGUCUCCCUCGUUUCCCGCGCGUCCACUCGAACUCAUUCAACGUCCGAGGGAAGUCUCACGCACAAACAAGCACACACGAUUCGAAUUCGCCCUCACGCACUGACUCGACGUGUCGCCCACGACGAUUACGACGAUGACACGCGCUCCAGGUGCGCUCUUAAUGUCUACACAAUUGGCUCUUGCGAGAACAAAUUCGCGUACAAUACUAAAAGUCGGAGCCGUAUCCUUCACCCUAACUCGGCGAAACGACAGUCUCGGCAUAAACGUCACUUCGGCUGCUCAUCUCGCACGUGUAGCCUCCUCGCGAUAGAGUGUGAAAAACAUAUUCAUUUCCGACCCGCUGGAGAUUCGAUUAUCAUUUCGGGGGUUCUCUCAUUCUUACGGCUCGCCGUUAUACCGAGAGUCUGUCGUUGCCGAUAUCAGUGUGUGUGUGUGUGUGUGUGUGUGUGUGUGUGUGCGCGUGUGCGUGUGUGUGUGUGUGUGAUGUAGCUUACGUAUCUAACAUGACAACGGAAACAGCUCUCUCUCUCUCUCUCUCUCUCUAUGAA